GAUAAUUGAGUUUUAUCAAUAUCAAUAGCAUAUAGACUUAGUAUCAACGGCAUUGUUAACUAUCCUUGUAUGAAAUAUGAACUUCUAAUAUGUGUCUUAUGUAUAGCAGUUACGCUGUGAAAUGACUCUCAUAAACGUUUCUACUUGCAAUCCAAUUUGAUCUUACCUCGACAACAAUUGUUUUGCCUGAAUGACAUUCAUAAGAAGUUCUUCUUGGUCAUCACGAGUACUGCCGACACCAAAUCUAGUCCAAAGUCUUCUUACAUGUCUUCAAUGUUUCUCAAUGGAUGAUAAUUAUAACUCAUUAAUUGUGUCACCGAAAAACAAAUAUAGCUGGAAUAUUUUUGAAGAAAGGAAAACUUAUCCACUCGUGAGAAG
rnacentral:lncRNA from 1 species